rnacentral:rRNA from 1 species
UACGGAGGUGGCAAGCGUUGUUCGGAAUUAUUGGGCGUAAAGCGCGCGCAGGCGGUUUAAUAAGUCUGAUGUAAAAGCCCACGGCUCAUCCGUGGAAGGUCAUUGGAAACUGUUAAGCUUGAGUGCAGGAGAGAAAAGUGGAAUUCCUAGUGUAGCGGUGAAAUGCGUAGAGAUUAGGAGGAACACCAGUGGCGAAGGCGGCUUUUUGGCCUGCAACUGACACUGAGGCGCGAAAGCGUGGGGAGCAAACAGG